GAUCCCUCUUCUUUUCUAAUGGCGUAAUUAAUAAGUUAAAGAAACCGAUGGGGCCACCUACUGACCAAGCUGAGAACAUCCUACAUGAGAUGACUGAAUCUUCUGUAAAGAUGUGCAGUGGUAUAUACUAUUGGUAACCAUGGUUGACAGAGGAAGAACAAUGAUUCCAAGCACCAACCUCCUUUUGAAGCUUCCAGUCUGUUAUUCGAACUCAAUCAGCAUGACAGAGUGAUCUCCAGCCUUGUCCUUGUCAACACUCACACCUGUGUUAACAAGAGAAUCACUGACAUGAUGUCAGCUGGUCCUUUUGUGGCAGGGCUGAAAUGCAG
rnacentral:lncRNA from 1 species